GAUUAAAUUUACCCGGUCGUAGAAAACCAAUUUCUUAUUUGGACUCGCUCCACGUGCCCGCGCUUUUGCUGGCCCCAUUCCACCGCCUUCUUCCACCUAUAUAAACCCCCUUAAGCGAUUCAAGAAAACACACAGUUUAAGUUUAUUGAGCCAUUUCUACUUCUCAGCUUUGAUAACUUUUGAGUUAAUACACACAGUACAAUGGAAAGCUUAAAGGGUGUUUUGAUGGUUUUAGCAAUUAUGGCAACUUUGUCUGCUGUAAUGGCCCAAGAAGUGUCGGCACCGGCGCCGUCGCCUGACGAGGGUGCCGGAAACCUCUUGCCAGUUUCAGGGGCUAUACUAUGUUCUUCAUUGGUGGUGUCCCUCUUGGCCCUCAUCAAGAACUAGAUCAGUUAUCUAUCAUGUUCAGACUCGAUUCUUACACGGGGAUUGGAUUCUUCUUUUCCUUUUUGUGGGUAUUUUUUAGUCAUUAUAUAGUGAUGUUAUAAUUUUUUAUUAUUCAUAUUUGGGUUAGAUAUAGAGGAAUAAAAGUGAUCUUAUAGACUAUAGUUGUAUUCUAUUGAUACUUGUUGUGUAGUUGCAUCUGUAUUUGUUAUUCAUUCGUGUAUUUGUGUUUGUCACCAUAAUAUCUUUGAUUAUCGAUUCUAGUUUGUGGAUUUCAAUUUAAAUUUUUAGUUCUAAAGUUCAUUUUCUCAAAUACUAAACCUUAUAAUUUUUUCCUAAUAAUUUAAUAUUAUAAUUUUCAAAUAUUGAAAAUAUAUAAAAUUUAUAUAUAAGAGUAAUAGGGCUUAAACUGAGGGUUAAUAGAAGAUAUUUGAGCCUUUUUCCUCUCAGUUUAAAUUCCUUAUCUUGAUUUCCUUAUUUUAUUGUGACAAUUUCUUAACUGUUUUCAUAAUCAUUUAUUAAAAAAAAUGUUUUCGGUAACGAGUAUCGAUCAACGUCACAAUAAAUAAUUUUCAGUUCACAGAAAGAGGGGAUUAUUUUAUUUUAUUUUUUGUUUUUUUAACGCAAAAAAAUCAACAAUUUUCGACUGAUUUAUGUAGUGGAAACAUUGAUGUUUGGGUUUGAUCUCGUGAGUACGAUGAUCAAUCGACCUGCAAUAAUACGGAUUGAGAAUGACGAUUCAAGCACACGUGUGAUGAUUUCAAUGUAUCUAUCAAUAUCAUGAUCCACAACCAAAGUUGACGGGUUUCCCGAGGAAAACUGGGACGUCGAUCGCCCCACUUGACAAGAACCCAAAUUAAGUUUUUUUUUUUUUUUUUUUUUUUUUGGGGAGGGUUGGGGCCCACCUUAUUUGUCAAUAUCAUGAUCCAUAAUAAAGGUGAAUCGUUGUUGGGUUUUGCUAGGAAAACAGGAAGGUUGAAUGCCUCCUUAACAGGAACCCCGCAAAUAGGAGGGCUGACAGUCGACCUUGUUCCAGGAGCUAAAAACCCAUCGUUGAUACCCAAAUUGGCAACAAUUUUGUGAAUUGUUAGAUCCCACACAAUUUACCUCUCACAAAAUUUAAAUUUGACGUCACCCAAGAUUUGUGAUAUGAAUAAG
rnacentral:lncRNA from 1 species